rnacentral:lncRNA from 1 species
UGAUUGGGGUGUUUAAUCCAUUUAAAUUCAGGAUUAAUAUUGAUAUUUGUGAGUUUAAUGUUGUCAUUUAAUGCUGGCUGGCUAUUUUGCCCAUUAGUUGAUAUAGAUUCUUUAUUAUGGAGAUACUCUUUACCUUUUGGUAAGUUUUUGGGAUGACUGAUACUGGUUGUUCCUUUCUGUGUGUAGUGCUUCUUUCAGAAGCUCUUGUAAAGCAGGCCUGGUGGUGAUGAAAUCUCUGAGUUACUCUCCCUCAUUUAAAGUCAAUUGAUUCUGGACUUUAAUUAAUAUAAAAAUGUCUGCAUAGAAACAUUUUGAUUAGUGUUUGAAUGAAUAACUAAGUGCUGUAGCCCAGUCAAGUUAAACAUAAACUGACUAUCACUGCCUAUCCUUAGUCAACUUGGUACAAUCUCCAAGUAAAGACAAUACCAAAGUUGUUCUUCCACUUAACAUAAGUAUCCUGUUUACCACUGAAAACAUGCUCUUCCUUUUUCUCUGAAGAGGAUGUCAAGUUUUCAGGUUUGGGAGAAACAGACUUCAAUUUCCUCCAUUCAAUCGAUCCUUAGCUGUGGAUUUGUCAUCUACGACCUUUGUUGUUUUGAGAUGGAGACUCACUCUUGCCAUGUGGGCUGCACUUCAGCAUGA